GUUAGAAAACUAAUGAAAUUUCCUACAACUUGUGUGAAAUCAUAUUUUCCCUAAAAUGAAAGGGAAACGAGUCAAAACUCGGCUCCAAUUCGCAGGACCCUAUAGUUACGAGAAUAACAUAAUUUCCUUUAUCAGCCAUGGACAGCCAAGGGAAAAAGGGGAUUAAGAAAUAAAUCAAUUACAUAAAAUUAGGUCCAAGGGCAUUAGGGUUUGGGUAGGUUGCAUAAGUAGGUAUCCUUUUAUUUUAUUUCCACAUUUUCUUUUCUCUUCCUCUCAACACUCUAGUGGCUGCCAAACACUAUAGAGAAAAGAUUGUCUCUCAUUUAGUUCUCGCCAUCAACACUACGAGAAUUUUUUAAUCUCAAGGAGGUAGAGGCUCGUUGUGAAGUUUUUCUCGUUUCGCUUUACUCGGACGUGAGGUAAAGGCAAUGGUAAGAUGAUUCGACCAUGGGUUGGAGAGCUCUGGGGGCGAGGUGUACAUUGUCAGCUGCUCGGCCACCACGGUCGAGGGUUUGUACAGGGACUGAGGCCUAAAAUAUGUAUUUUGCCAUUAGAGUGGAUUUGCAUGUUUAUAGCAUUUGGAAACCCUGUAAAUGUGUCAUUUAAACCCUGAUUUGGGAUCCCAUGUAUCAAACAUUUGUUUUAAUGAAUAUUAUUUGCUUAUAACCAAAACCUUUUAAACCUAACCUAUUUAUGUCUUUAGACUCACAUUUUUAUUUCAAUGACUUGAUUUGCAAGUCUCGCACUAUUUUAAACACACAGUGUAACAGUCUUGGUUAUCCAGGGCGUUACAACUUGGUAUCGGAGCGUCCUUGGUUUAAGGGUUCUUGAAGAUAGGCUAGACAUGUA